GUUGCCACACCGGGUGCUGCGGGCUGCAGAGGGAACAAAGCCCAGCGCUCUCGGGGACAGAGGUGGGCCGGGAACAGGAAAGGGGGCCUCUUCCCGACACGCCCUCCUCUCUCUCCUGCCGGGCUCCCGUUCCUAUUACCUGUUCUUCUCGUCUCUGUCAUCAUCCACUCCGCUCUUCGGCAGAGACAGGAUCCGCCGCUUUGUCUCUGUCUGGUCCGAGCCGGCAGCUCUGUGGAGCCUGUGGAUCCCCUUGUCCGGGUGGUGGCGCCCGGGCUGGGAGGAGGCGUGGUCCGCACUCUAUCUCCCGGCGCCCGCGCCCACCUUCCCCGGGCUGCUGACCGAGCCGCCGGGCAGCUUGCCCUUCCCGCUCCUGAAGCCAGAGGUCUUCUUCAUGGCUGCGUCUGCAGGCUUCGGAGACCCGCUGGACUUUUCGCCGCCUCCGGAACCCUGUAUGAGGAAGCAAAUCGCGUCCGCCACAGCCUCCAACCAAAAAACUCCGCGACGCUCAGCCUCUCAGAAGAGAAACAGAGACGCGCCAAGCAAAGCCGUUACACGGCCUGUGCACGCGCCCCCGGUGUCCCUGCGCGUGACACAAAGUUGGCCCCGAGGGAGCUCCGUGUGCCUGAGUCCCAGGAGCCCUAGAUGCCAGCGACAGCUUGUGACCAGGACUGCGACGCCGUCCAGGGGGCGGGAGUCGGCGGAGCUCAGGACACUGACGAUGGGCCGGGGCGGGAGGAAAGCUGUCCGCACACAGCCUGGGGCCAGAGGAGCGGCCUGCCAGGGCCAGACGGAGGAAGACCACGGGAAGCAGGCUGGACGUGCAGGGAAGGGUGUCAUGAGGACUGGGCAUGGGCCUAUCAGGGCCAUGGGCAUGAUGUCAGCCAAGGAACUCAUGGCCUGCCUCUGCCAAGAGACCAGCGCCUCAUCCUGAGCACUCCCAGCCUCGCAUCACCUUCCCCCUGGCUACAUUCAGCUGCCAUGCCCCUACCUCCUUGUGUGGUCAGCACCCUCCAGGACUUCAUCUCGGGGCACCCAAAGGCUGAGGACAUUGCUGGCCAGCAGGAAAUUCAUGGUGCAUCCAGGAAGACUUCCAAGAGGUGGUGGAGCAGGGGAUGCCACACCCAGACAGCUGCGUGUAAUUGUGCAGCUGCGGGCUGCUGCGGGUGCUGGCUGGCAGUGCAUUCUGGGCACACUGGACUGUGUCACCAUGUGCAGACUGUGACUGGAGGAGGAACUGCUGGCCUCCAAGACGUAUGUGCCUGGAAACCAGCGGAGGGCUGCUGCAGGAGGAGGGCUGCAGGAUGGUCUAGCUCAGACCCGACUCAGAGUUUUAGAGGGCACAGGGCAUAAGGCUGUGGACAUAGACAGCCCUACUGCGUAGGAAGAGCAUAAACCAGCCAGAGGGCAUGCAUGGGGCCUGCGGUUGCAUUCUGGUCUCCUUUGAGGUAAGGAAGGAUGUUUUUCUAUUUUAUGGGUGAGCAAACUGAGGCAGAGUGCUGGAGUGAUUUCCCCCAGCAGCGAUGGCAGAUUUAGCUCCAGGGCUUCAAUUUUAGGAUCCUCCCUCUCAAAUACCAUGAUGUAUCAUGGACUUUCUCUCCACAGAAACUUAGAAACUCAGAAAUGGAAAGGGAACAAUGAAACUUACCCUUUCUCCCACUGCUCACAUUCCUUCUGGUCUUUUUGUGUGUGCAUAUAAAAUAUAUCUCAGAAAAUUGA